rnacentral:rRNA from 1 species
UACGUAGGGCGCAAGCGUUAUCCGGAAUUAUUGGGCGUAAAGAGCUCGUAGGCGGUUUGUCGCGUCUGCUGUGAAAACCCGAGGCUCAACCUCGGGCCUGCAGUGGGUACGGGCAGACUAGAGUGCGGGUAGGGGAGAUUGGAAUUCCCGGCGUAGCGGUGAAAUGCGCAGAUAUCGGGAGGAACACCCGGUGGGCGAAGGCGGUUCUCCUGGGGCCUUUACCUGACGCUGAGGAGCGAAAGCGUGGGGAGCGAACAGGG